AGGUCAACACUAUAGUUUUAGAGAUCAUUUCUAUAGUUUUUAACUAGGAAAUUUAGUUGGAAAGUGUUACAAUUCCAUAAUCACAAUGAUGUAAUGAUGAGUCAUGAUGUACUCUUUUGAGCAUGUGUCAGAUUAUAGCCAGCGUUUUAUGUGUGAACCAUAAUCAUUGAUGAAUGUUUUCCAUUUCUUAUGAAGUUUGUUAUUUCUUAUGGUCAGAGUGAU